GAUGAAGAACGUAGCGAAAUGCGAUAAGUAAUGUGAAUUGCAGAUUUCAGUGAAUCAUCGAAUCUUUGAACGCACAUGGCGCCUUCCAGUAUCCUGGGAGGCAUGCCUGUCCGAGCGUCGUUUCAACCCUCGAGCCCCCGUGGCCCGGCGUUGGGGAUCUGCCCAGGCAGUCCCCGAAAACCAGUGGCGGACCCGUUACAGGCCCUUCCCUUGCGUAGUAGCAUUCGCCUCGCAUCGGGAGCCGGCGGGCUUCCAGCCUCUAAACCCCCAUCAAGUCCGCCCCGGCGGCACCAAGGUUGACCUCGGAUCAGGUAGGAAUACCCGCUGAACUUAAGCAUAUCAAUAAGCGGAGGA
rnacentral:misc_RNA from 1 species